rnacentral:rRNA from 1 species
GAUCAUGGCUCAGGAUGAACGCUGGCGGCGUGCCUAACACAUGCAAGUCGAACGAAGCGAUUUAACGGAAGUUUUCGGAUGGAAGUUGAAUUGACUGAGUGGCGGACGGGUGAGUAACGCGUGGGUAACCUGCCUUGUACUGGGGACAACAGUUAGAAAUGACUGCUAAUACCGCAUAAGCGCACAGUAUCGCAUGAUACAGUGUGAAAAACUCCGGUGGUACAAGAUGGACCCGNGU